UAAAUAUAAAAUAGCAAGAAAAGACCUCGGGACUGGUGAGAUGGCUCAGUGGACAAAGGUAACUGACACCAAGACCGGCAAGCUGAGCUGGAUCUCUGGAACUCACAUGCCUGAAGAAGAAACACAGUGGUUGUCCUCUGACCUCCAUACAUGCAGGCCAAACUGAAGAAGACAGACACAAAAUGGAGGCAGUAAUAUCAGGUUCUCGUUCUACUUUUAUGUACCUUGUGGGUCCAGGGCAGAGGUUUUCUCCUCAAGAGAAGCUGAGUUACACAUGCUGGAGUCAGUCUGCAGUACCUGUCAAAAGAUCAACACCAGGUCCCCAGUCAGAGAGACCGUGCUGCUCUCCCUCCGUGUGGUUUUCAUCAGAGAGUGAAGGGCAGUCGGUGCCAGGGAGGAGACUGGCUGAAGAAUGGCAGCAGUGCCCAGUCUACCCUCCAGCCUGUAACUGUGAAUCCUCUAGGUCAAAUGGGCUGCAUGGAAGUCAUGCAGGCUGAAGCUGUGUGUGCUGCAGGGGACUGACCACCAUGCAGUCAGAGAACUGGCGUUACACGCAGAGGAUGUGCUCAGGAUGGAAGAAAUACAUUUUUAUCUAGGAGGCAAGCAUUUGCCCUUUGCUCUAACCACCCAAACUCCAAUAUACUCAAAGAAAGAAAACUCCCAAGCAACAGUAGGAAGGAAGAGAAACAUCAAGUCAGACUCUAGCCAUGACAUUCCCCUCACAGCAGAAACUCCAGCCACGACAAUCCCCUCAUGAUGUGGGUGCUGUGUACCCAGGCUUCCUGGGGACAAAUGUGUA